GGUCGAUUAGCUCAGUUGGUUAGAGCGUGGUGCUAAUACGUUUCGUAUCAACGCCAAGGUCGCGGGUUCGACCCCCUCAUUGACCA
rnacentral:tRNA from 1 species